rnacentral:rRNA from 1 species
CAAUAGCGUAUAUUAAAGUUGUUGCAGUUAAAAAGCUCGUAGUUGGAUUUGUGGCGUACGGUGUGUUCCGGGCACUUGUUGUCUGAGUAACCUGCUGUUGCCAUCCUUGGGUGGAACCUGUGUGGCAUUAGGUUGUCGUGCAGGGGAUGCCCAUCAUUUACUGUGAAAAAAUUAGAGUGUUCAAAGCAGGCUUAUGCCGUUGAAUAUAUUAGCAUGGAAUAAUGAGAUAGGACCUGGGUACUAUUUUGUUGGUUUGCGCACCGAGGUAAUGAUUAAUAGGGACAGUUGGGGGUAUUCGUAUUCCAUUGUCAGAGGUGAAAUUCUUGGAUUUUUGGAAGACGAACUACUGCGAAAGCAUUUACCAAGGAUGUUUUCAUUAA